AUAUAACCUGCAACGGCGAUUGCAUCAAAAGCUGCGGAGCUACAAGUACAGUCAACACCGUUUGCCGUCUAGUUGUUGCUCAAAGAGGUGAAAAUCAAGAGCAAUAUUUGUUGGCAUCCAAAUUUGUCAUAAAGAAAGAAUAGAUUAUUUUUUAACUGUUUUAAAAGUAAGAAAGGCUUUGUAAAUGUUAAGAUUUUUAGCUCGAAAAACACCAGGUUAUAAUUUCAGUUGCAAUCAAUUAUUUCGCAACAUGACGGAUUUAGUACACCCAAAGCCAGUAGAAACAUCAAUCAGAAAAAAAUUGAAGGAAACUUUCCUACCUACUCAUAUGGAUGUUUUAAAUGAAUCCUACAUGCAUAAUGUGCCAAAAGGUGCAGAAACACAUUUCAAAGUUGUAGUUGUAUCUGACAAAUUCACAGAUUUACCUCUUAUCAAGAGACAUAGAAUGGUAAUGGAUUUACUUAGUGAUGAAUUAGAAAAUGGAGUUCAUGCACUUUCCAUUGUUGCUAAAACACCGAGUCAAUGGGAGAUAAGUGAUAAGAGUGUUAAGCCUAGUCCUAAUUGCAGAGGAGGUUUUGGUAAAUAAUAUGUAAAAAAAUGUUACUAUAUCUAUGUACAUAAAAGGUAUACUCCUUCUAACUGAUGAUUCUACAUAAUUUCAAGACUGAUGAGUUUAAAGGAAAACUGAACUUUAUGCUUCAUUACGUACAGUGAGUAGAUCUUAUCAUGCAAUACCCUUUAUCACCAGUAACAGCCAAUCUGUCUUCUGAGACUUUAAGCUGUGGUGCUCGAUCAUGCAGAGCAAGAAGUACAACACUAGGACUUAAAGGUCGAUAGAGCCAACCAGGGAUUGGUUUUCCAGCCCAAUCACUGCUUUCAUCAAAUUCCUAGAUAAGAUUAACACGUUUAUUUCCGUUUUCAAAGAAGUUGAGUUCAAGGAUGGAAUGGCGAGGAUAGACUUACUUGUCUAAAAGGUGCGUGUGGGUCAGGUUCAGCUAAAAUGUACCUGUAGCCAUCUUUAUUUUUGGGAUAAUCCAGUGGGUAUCCAUGAGCAGGUAAUUUUGGUGUUGUCAUGUCGGAUCCUCCACCUUUUUUGCCUGGUCCAGUUCCAGUACCCUCUCCAGGGAAUUUGCGUUUGGCAUUACGUCCUCUGAUUCCACCAGGAAUUGAUGCUAUGAUUUCCAUUAUAUUGUUGUUUUAGCAAAUGCAUAAAUUUGAAUAAAAUGUGAAGUAGCGAAAAGAAAA